rnacentral:rRNA from 1 species
GAUUCUGGCUCAGGACGAACGCUGGCGGCGUGCCUAACACAUGCAAGUCGAACGGGACUGGGGGCAACUCCAGUUCAGUGGCGGACGGGUGCGUAACACGUGAGGAACAUGACUUUCGGUGGGGGAUAGCCGGCCCAACGGCCGGGUAAUACCGCGUACGACCUCUCGGGGACAUCCCCGGUUGGUGAAAGCAGCAAUGCGCCGAAAGAGUGCCUCGCGGCCUAUCAGCUAGUUGGUGGGGUAAUGGCCCACCAAGGCGACGACGGGUAGCUGGUCUGAGAGGAUGGCCAGCCACAUUGGGACUGAGACACGGCCCAGACUCCUACGGGAGGCAGCAGUGGGGAAUAUUGCGCAAUGGGCGAAAGCCUGACGCAGCCGACGCCGCGUGUGGGAUGACGGCCUUCGGGUUGUAAACCACUGUCGGGAGGGACGAAUGCCCCGCAAGGGGAGUGACGGUACCUCCAAAGGAAGCACCGGCUAACUCCGUGCCAGCAGCCGC